rnacentral:rRNA from 1 species
CCUGGCUCACGAUGAACGCUAGCUACAGGCUUAACACAUGCAAGUCGAGGGGCAGCAUGGUCUUAGCUUGCUAAGGCCGAUGGCGACCGGCGCACGGGUGAGUAACACGUAUCCAACCUGCCGUCUACUCUUGGACAGCCUUCUGAAAGGAAGAUUAAUACAAGAUGGCAUCAUGAGUCCGCAUGUUCACAUGAUUAAAGGUAUUCCGGUAGACGAUGGGGAUGCGUUCCAUCAGAUAGUAGGCGGGGUAACGGCCCACCUAGUCUUCGAUGGAUAGGGGUUCUGAGAGGAAGGUCCCCCACAUUGGAACUGAGACACGGUCCAAACUCCUACGGGAGGCAGCAGUGAGGAAUAUUGGUCAAUGGGCGAGAGCCUGAACCAGCCAAGUAGCGUGAAGGAUGACUGCCCUAUGGGUUGUAAACUUCUUUUAUAAAGGAAUAAAGUCGGGUAUGGAUACCCGUUUGCAUGUACUUUAUGAAUAAGGAUCGGCUAACUCCGUGCCAGCAGCCGCGGUAAUACGGAGGAUCCGAGCGUUAUCCGGAUUUAUUGGGUUUAAAGGGAGCGUAGAUGGAUGUUUAAGUCAGUUGUGAAAAGUUUGCGGCUCAACCGUAAAAUUGCAGUUGAUACUGGAUAUCUUGAGUGCAGUUGAGGCAGGCGGAAUUCGUGGUGUAGCGGUGAAAUGCUUAGAUAUCACGAAGAACUCCGAUUGCGAAGGCAGCCUGCUAAGCUGCAACUGACAUUGAGGCUCGAAAGUGUGGGUAUCAAACAGGAUUAGAUACCCUGGUAGUCCACACGGUAAACGAUGAAUACUCGCUGUUUGCGAUAUACUGCAAGCGGCCAAGCGAAAGCGUUAAGUAUUCCACCUGGGGAGUACGCCGGCAACGGUGAAACUCAAAGGAAUUGACGGGGGCCCGCACAAGCGGAGGAACAUGUGGUUUAAUUCGAUGAUACGCGAGGAACCUUACCCGGGCUUAAAUUGCAGAUGAAUUACGGUGAAAGCCGUAAGCCGCAAGGCAUCUGUGAAGGUGCUGCAUGGUUGUCGUCAGCUCGUGCCGUGAGGUGUCGGCUUAAGUGCCAUAACGAGCGCAACCCUUGUUGUCAGUUACUAACAGGUUCCGCUGAGGACUCUGACAAGACUGCCAUCGUAAGAUGUGAGGAAGGUGGGGAUGACGUCAAAUCAGCACGGCCCUUACGUCCGGGGCUACACACGUGUUACAAUGGGGGGUACAGAGGGCCGCUACCACGCGAGUGGAUGCCAAUCCCCAAAACCUCUCUCAGUUCGGACUGGAGUCUGCAACCCGACUCCACGAAGCUGGAUUCGCUAGUAAUCACGCAUCAGCCACGGCGCGGUGAAUACGUUCCCGGGCCUUGUACACACCGCC